rnacentral:rRNA from 1 species
UACGAAGGGACCUAGCGUUGUUCGGAAUUACUGGGCGUAAAGGGCGCGUAGGCGGUUUUUUAAGUCAGAUGUGAAAGCCCUGGGCUCAACCUGGGAGGUGCAUUUGAUACUGAGAGACUAGAGUUCGAGAGGGGGUAGCGGAAUUGCGAGUGUAGAGGUGAAAUUCGUAGAUAUUCGCAGGAACACCAGUGGCGAAGGCGGCUACCUGGCUCGAUACUGACGCUAAUGCGCGAAAGCGUGGGGAGCAAACAGG